rnacentral:rRNA from 1 species
AAUGAACGUUGGCGGCGUGGAUUAGGCAUGCAAGUCGAGCGAGAACCGUAGCAAUACGGGGACAGCGGCGCAAGGGAGAGUAAUACGUGGAUACCUACCCUCGGGUCCGGGAUGGCUGCGGGAAACUGCAGGUAAUACCGGAUGACAUCUCCGGAUCAAAGGUGUGAUUCCGCCCGGGGAGGGGUCCGCGUCCUAUUAGCUAGUUGGUGAGGUAACGGCUCACCAAGGCUGUGAUGGGUACGGGGUGUGAGAGCAUGCCCCCGCUCACUGGGACUGAGACACUGCCCAGACACCUACGGGUGGCUGCAGUCGAGAAUCUUCGGCAAUGGGCGCAAGCCUGACCGAGCGACGCCGCGUGCGAGAUGAAGGCCUUCGGGUUGUAAAUCGCUGUCAGAGGGGAGGAAAUGCCGGUGGGUUCUCUCAUCGGUUUGACCUAUCCUCAGAGGAAGGACGUGCUAAGUUCGUGCCAGCAGCCGCCGUAA